AGAGUUUGAUCCUGGCUCAGGAUGAACGCUGGCGGUGUGCUUAAUACAUGCAAGUCGAACGAGGAGCUUUUGUCUUCGGACGGGAGAAUUCCUAGUGGCGAACGGGUGAGUAACGCGUUGGUGACCUGCCCCAAAGAAGGGGAUAACAGUUCGAAAGGACUGCUAAUACCCUAUGUUAUCAGUUGGAUUAGACGCCUACUGAUUAAAGGAGUAAUCCACUUUGGGAGGGACCUGCGUCCCAUCAGCUAGUUGGUAGGGUAACGGCCUACCAAGGCAAUGACGGGUAGGGGACCUGAGAGGGUGACCCCCCACAAUGGCACUGAAACACGGGCCAUACACCUACGGGUGGCAGCAGUAGGGAAUAUUGGACAAUGGGCGAAAGCCUGAUCCAGCAACACCGCGUGCACGAUGACGGCCUUCGGGUUGUAAAGUGCUUUUAGAGGAGAUGAGAAAGGACAGUAUCCUCUGAAUAAGCCUCGGCGAACUACGUGCCAGCAGCCGCGGUAAAACGUAGGAGGCAAGCGUUAUCCGGAUUUAUUGGGCGUAAAGCGUGUGCAGGCGGUCUAGCAAGUUGGAUGUGAAAUCUCCCGGCUUAACUGGGAGAGGUCGUUCAAUACUGCUAGACUAGAGAAUGGGAGAGGGAGGUGGAAUUCCGGGUGUAGUGGUGAAAUGCGUAGAUAUCCGGAGGAACACCAGUGGCGAAAGCGGCCUCCUAGACCAUUUCUGACGCUAAGACACGAAAGCUAGGGUAGCAAACGGGAUUAGAGACCCCGGUAGUCCUAGCUGUAAACGAUGUAGACUUGGUGUUGGCGGGGUUAAAUCUGCCAGUACCGUAGCUAACGCGAUAAGUCUACCGCCUGGGGACUACGAUCGCAAGAUUAAAACUCAAAGGAAUUGACGGGGACCCGCACAAGCAGCGGAGCGUGUGGUUUAAUUCGAUGCUACACGAAGAACCUUACCAGGGUUUGACAUGUAAGUGGUAGUGAUCCGAAAGGUGAACGACCCCUCGGGGAGCUUACACAGGUGCUGCAUGGCUGUCGUCAGCUCGUGUCGUGAGAUGUUCGGUUGAGUCCGCUAACGAGCGCAACCCUCACUGUGUGUUAUACGUGUCACACGGGACUGCCGGUUUUAAGCCGAGGAAGGCGAGGAUGACGUCAAGUCAGCAUGGCCUUUAUAUCCUGGGCUACACACACGCUACAAUGU
rnacentral:rRNA from 1 species